UACGGAGGGGACUAGCGUUGUUCGGAAUUACUGGGCGUAAAGCGCACGUAGGCGGAUUUGUAAGUCAGGGGUGAAAUCCCGGGGCUCAACCUCGGAACUGCCUUUGAUACUGCAAAUCUCGAGUCCGGAAGAGGUGAGUGGAAUUCCUAGUGUAGAGGUGAAAUUCGUAGAUAUUAGGAAGAACACCAGUGGCGAAGGCGACAUACUGGCUCAUUACUGACGCUGAGGCUCGAAAGCGUGGGGAGCAAACAGG
rnacentral:rRNA from 1 species